rnacentral:rRNA from 1 species
GAUGAACGCUGGCGGCGUGCUUAACACAUGCAAGUCGAACGGAAAGGCUCCUGCUUGCAGGGGUACUCGAGUGGCGAACGGGUGAGUAACACGUGGGUGAUCUGCCCUGCACUUCGGGAUAAGCCUGGGAAACUGGGUCUAAUACCGGAUAGGACCACAUUUUGGAUGGUGUGGUGGAAAGUUUUUCGGUGUGGGAUGAGCUCGCGGCCUAUCAGCUUGUUGGUGGGGUAAUGGCCUACCAAGGCGUCGACGGGUAGCCGGCCUGAGAGGGUGGACGGCCACAUUGGGACUGAGAGACGGCCCAGACUCCUACGGGAGGCAGCAGUGGGGAAUAUUGCACAAUGGGCGCAAGCCUGAUGCAGCGACGCCGCGUGGGGGAUGACGGCCUUCGGGUUGUAAACUCCUUUCGCUAGGGACGAAGCGCAAGUGACGGUACCUGGAGAAGAAGCACCGGCUAACUACGUG